rnacentral:rRNA from 1 species
CCUACGGGGGGCAGCAGCCGCGGUAAUACGGAGGGUGCAAGCGUUACUCGGAAUCACUGGGCGUAAAGAGUGCGUAGGCGGGGUAAUAAGUCAGAUGUGAAAUCCUGUAGCUUAACUACAGAACUGCAUUUGAAACUGUUACUCUGGAGUGUGGGAGAGGUAGGUGGAAUUCUUGGUGUAGGGGUAAAAUCCGUAGAGAUCAAGAGGAAUACUCAUUGCGAAGGCGACCUGCUGGAACAUUACUGACGCUGAUGCACGAAAGCGUGGGGAGCAAACAGGAUUAGAAACCCUGGUAGUCCACAAGA